rnacentral:rRNA from 1 species
GACGAACGCUGGCGGCGUGCCUAAUACAUGCAAGUCGAGCGAAGCGGGGACGGGCGAGGAACACGUGGAUAACCUCCUAUAAGACUGGGAUAACCUCGGGAAACAGGAGGUAAACAGGAGACAUAUAGAUGGAUCCGCGCUGCAUUAGCUAGUUGGUAAGGUAACGGCGUACCAAGGCAACGAUGCAUAGCCGACCUGGGAGGGUGAUCGGCCACACUGGAACUGAGGCGCGGUCCAGACUCCUACGUGAGGCAGCGGUAGGGAAUCUUCCGCAAGGGGCGCAAGCCUUACGGUGCAACGCCGCAUGAGUGAUGAAGGUCUUCGGAUCGUAAAACUCUGUUAUUAGGGAAGCGGUACCUGAUCAGAAAGCCACGGCUAACUACGUGCCAGCAGCCGCGGUAAUUC